GGAUGGGCAUGCGUAACAUUAGCUAGUUGGUAGGGUAACGGCCUACCAAGGCUACGAUGUUUAGGGGACCUGAGAGGGUGAACCCCCACACUGGUACUGAGACACGGACCAGACUCCUACGGGAGGCAGCAGUGAGGAAUAUUGGUCAAUGGGCGGAAGCCUGAACCAGCCAUCCCGCGUGGAGGAAGACGGCCCUAUGGGUUGUAAACUUCUUUUCAAGGGGAAGAAAGUUCGCGACGUGUCGCGAUUUGCCGGUACCUUUGGAAUAAGCAUCGGCUAACUCCGUGCCAGCAGCCGCGGUAAUACGGAGGAUGCGAGCGUUAUCCGGAUUUAUUGGGUUUAAAGGGUGCGUAGGCCGGCCGAUAAGUCAGCGGUGAAAUACCAUGGCCCAACCAUGGAACUGCCGUUGAUACUGUCGGUCUUGAAUAUGGUCAAGGUAGGCGGAAUGUGUAAUGUAGCGGUGAAAUGCUUAGAUAUUACACAGAACACCGAUUGCGAAGGCAGCUUACUGGGCCAUUAUUGACGCUGAGGCACGAAAGCGUGGGGAUCGAACAGGAUUAGAUACCCUGUAGUCCACGCCGUAAACAAUGUCACUCGCUUUGGCGAUACACAGUCAGCGGCUAGCGAAAGCCAUUAA
rnacentral:rRNA from 1 species